GUUAGUUAGGUGGGUGUGCAUGUCAGGGUCUGUAAGAAGUUGUACUGUUGGAGAGACUGAGCUGUGCACACCAUAUCAAUCACAAGGAAGGAGGGCCUGAGUUGCUGUGGACUUUCUCUUUAAUAAAUCUCUUCUGAAUCCUCACUCAUUCUGUGUCUCCGUUCUCCUGUAAAUAGUACCCAUUCUUAUUAUGCUUCUCCUAGCUGAAAGCAGGUCCAACUGGGUUUGGCCCUUGCCAUAGUCUUCCUCCAGGAGCUGUGACCACAGGCAAAGCACAACGGUAUCUUGCCUUACUCUGCUAGAGGGAAACCGAUCAGAGAAGAUGAUUGACCCAGCCAUAAAAACAGGAAAACUCUGUCAGGCAAAAAAUUCAGCCCAGUGUAUUCCAAGGGAAAGGACAGUGAUAUCCAGGGCUUGGCAGAGGGGAAAAGGGGUGUGGAUGGAAGCCUUCUUGCUCUCAGAUGUAUUACACCAGUUCUCUCAGCAGUGAGGAUUUCCACAGCUGGCGCUAUUUGCCAACUCUCCUGGCCACUAAACUGCAAUGGAAAGCAAUUUAGGAAAUUGUUACAUCACCUGACUUGUUCUUAGCCCAGCUGCCGACUCAAGUGUUUUUUUGUAUUUUGUUUUGUUUUUUUGACACCCAGGGAUUGUUAGCACAUUAAUUUACACAGCAGUUCAGUUCUGCUGCUGGGAAGGUGACCUUUCUAUUCUUGCUGUGUGCUGUAUAAAUUAUAAAAUGACUCUCUUGGGUACUAUU